GACGAACGCUGGCGGCGUGCUUAACACACGCAAGUCGAACGAAGAGCGAUGGAAGCUUGCUUCUAUCAAUCUUAGUGGCGAACGGGUGAGUAACGCGUAAUCAACCUGCCCUUCAGAGGGGGACAACAGUUGGAAACGACUGCUAAUACCGCAUACGAUCUAAACUCGGCAUCGAGGAUAGAUGAAAGGUGGCCUCUACAUGUAAGCUAUCACUGAAGGAGGGGAUUGCGUCUGAUUAGCUAGUUGGAGGGGUAACGGCCCACCAAGGCGAUGAUCAGUAGCCGGUCUGAGAGGAUGAACGGCCACAUUGGGACUGAGACACGGCCCAGACUCCUACGGGAGGCGGCAGUGGGGAAUCUUCCGCAAUGGACGAAAGUCUGACGGAGCAACGCCGCGUGAGUGAUGACGGCCUUCGGGUUGUAAAGCUCUGUUAAUCGGGACGAAAGGCCUUCUUGCGAAUAGGGAGAAGGAUUGACGGUACCGGAAGAGAAAGCCACGGCUAACUACGUG
rnacentral:rRNA from 1 species